AAAAGGGCAAGCAAAUAAUGAGCUGGAUCAGUAUGUGAAAGAGGAGUUGUAUCCACGGAAGAAAGAGUUGGACAUAUUAGAAUGGUGGAAAAUCAACUCUCUCAAGUAUCCGGUUCUCUCUACAAUUGCUCGUGACAUAUUGGCUAUUUCGGCGUCCACGGUGCCUUCCGAGUCCGCUUUUAGUUCUGGAGGACGCAUUGUCAGUGAUUAUAGGAGCAGUCUUUCUUGCUCCACCGUCGAAGCUUUGAUUUGCCUACAAGACUGGCUGAGAACAGCUGAUCCAGAAAAAUACAAAGGCGUAUCAUUGGAGACAGAUGAAGAAGAUCAAGGAAAUAUGGGUUGCUAGUUUGCUA